AUCGCCAUGCCGCGUGUGUGAAGAAGGCCUUUUGGUUGUAAAGCACUUUAAGCGAGGAGGAGGCUACCGAGACUAAUACUCUUGGAUAGUGGACGUUACUCGCAGAAUAAGCACCGGCUAACUCUGUGCCAGCAGCCGCGGUAAUACAGAGGGUGCGAGCGUUAAUCGGAUUUACUGGGCGUAAAGCGUGCGUAGGCGGCUUUUUAAGUCGGAUGUGAAAUCCCUGAGCUUAACUUAGGAAUUGCAUUCGAUACUGGGAAGCUAGAGUAUGGGAGAGGAUGGUAGAAUUCCAGGUGUAGCGGUGAAAUGCGUAGAGAUCUGGAGGAAUACCGAUGGCGAAGGCAGCCAUCUGGCCUAAUACUGACGCUGAGGUACGAAAGCAUGGGGAGCAAACAGGAUUAGAUACCCUGGUAGUCCAUGCCGUAAACGAUGUCUACUAGCCGUUGGGGCCUUUGAGGCUUUAGUGGCGCAGCUAACGCGAUAAGUAGACCGCCUGGGGAGUACGGUCGCAAGACUAAAACUCAAAUGAAUUGACGGGGGCCCGCACAAGCGGUGGAGCAUGUGGUUUAAUUCGAUGCAACGCGAAGAACCUUACCUGGUCUUGACAUAGUAAGAACUUUCCAGAGAUGGAUUGGUGCCUUCGGGAACUUACAUACAGGUGCUGCAUGGCUGUCGUCAGCUCGUGUCGUGAGAUGUUGGGUUAAGUCCCGCAACGAGCGCAACCCUUUUCCUUAUUUGCCAUCGGGUUAAGCCGGGAACUUUAAGGAUACUGCCAGUGACAAACUGGAGGAAGGCGGGGACGACGUCAAGUCAUCAUGGCCCUUACGACCAGGGCUACACACGUGCUACAAUGGUCGGUACAAAGGGUUGCUACCUAGCGAUAGGAUGCUAAUCUCAAAAAGCCGAUCGUAGUCCGGAUUGGAGUCUGCAACUCGACUCCAUGAAGUCGGAAUCGCUAGUAAUCGCGGAUCAGAAUGCCGCGGUGAAUACGUUCCCGGGCCUUGUACACACCGCCCGUCACACCAUGGGAAUUUGUUGCACCAGAAGUAGGUAGUCUAACCGCAAGGAGGACGCUUACCACGGUGUGGCCGAUGAUGGUGACGU
rnacentral:rRNA from 1 species